rnacentral:rRNA from 1 species
AGGACGAACGCUGGCGGCGUGCUUAACACAUGCAAGUCGAGCGGAAAGGCCCUUCGGGGUACUCGAGCGGCGAACGGGUGAGUAACACGUGAGCAACCUGCCCUUAGCUUCGGGAUAGCUCCGGGAAACCGGAAUUAAUACCGAAUAUGACUUUGGCUGACAUCAGCAGAAGUGGAAAGUUUUUCGGCUAGGGAUGGACUCGCGGCCUAUCAGCUAGUUGGUGAGGUAACGGCCCACAAGGCGACGACGGGUA